rnacentral:lncRNA from 1 species
AUUCAUUGAAUAAAUCUGCCAUCCACUCCAUAUAUAAAUACUUAUCAGUAGUUGUUAGGCGUGAAAGGUGUGGUUUCUAGUUACACCUAAAAUGGAGCAGAAAAUUAACAAGGAAGACGGAUUCGUCGGCGGAGUACCGAUUCACAGCCAAGUUCGGAAAAUCAGGCAAGAAAUGGAGAAGAUCAAUCACCCAGCGCUCCAGCAGCCGGAGAUCAGACCGGUGGUUCAGGAGAUCCACCAGCAGAAGCGUUGCAGAUCGCCGCUAGGAUUAACACAGCGACCGGUCUCAGUCGGCAACUAAUGGAACAGUGGGAUAAAAGUAUCAAGUGGUUCUCUAUUUCCGAUUUUCUUUCUUCCAUUCUUUUCGAUUUCGUUAAGUUUUUAGUUGUACAUAAUUUGGUGUAGUAUCAAUCUGGGAAGAAGAGAACUUUUUCAAUUUUAUGAUUUCAGAAUUAAUCUUAGAACUUAGAAUUGCGUUUCAAAGACUUUAGCAAAAAGCCUCGAUCCGAAUAAUUGAUUUAUCUAACCAAG